CCCUAACCCAAUAACCCGAUUCCCUUUCAGCCACAUCCAAACCCUCUCUUGCUCUCAGCAAGCACGCACACACACCUAGCUCCUUCAAUUUGAAAGAAAGAAGGAAAGGAAAAUAAAAAGAAGGGGAAACGAGGAGAGGGGCUGCAAUCGGAAGAAGGGAAGGGAGGAGAAAAUGUCGCCGCCGUUCAGCCUGUCCCUGCCACCGUCGUGCUGCCACCGAACCGCCGAAGUGCCAUCACCGUUCUCUUGUUGCCGCCGCAGUUGAUAGAAAAAAGAGUGAGAUCCGAGAGAGCUGUGAAGGAAGGGCGUCGUCGGAGGAGAAGCCUGGCACCACCGCCGCCACUGUUCGUCACGCCGUCACCACUAGCCGCGCCGUCACCAGUCGCGAGAGAGAGAGAUCGGGCAAAGAGAGAGGUGUCGUGAGGGAGAGGAGGCGCCGCUGCUGCUGCUGCCUUGCCGUCGCCGCUACCUGGGUCCUGUGGUCCAAGCCACCAUUGAUGGAGCUCCGUUUCUACUUCUCUGGUCCGCCGCCACGGCUGGAGGUCCGCCCGACCUGAUCGGAGGGAAAGGAGAGGUUUAGGCCGCCGCUGCUACUUGCGUGGUGAGCUACUGCACCAGCCACUGCCGCAGGAAUUGCUGCUGGAGAAGGGAGCUGCGCUUCUGUGUUUCUGGCUGCCGGAAAAACCUCGCCGCCGUCACCGGAAAAUCCUGCCGUUUUCAUUGCCGGAGUCCGGGUCGCCGCUGCUGCUUGAGGUGGCUGCCGGGCUGCCGCCAAACCGGUUCAGAGACCGUCGCUGUAUCAGUUCAGUCGUUCCUUCUUCGUUCGAUAAGCGUCUUCGAUUUGAAAAGCCCUCUGGUUAUUGUUCUGUUAUCAUACGCUGAGGUUUGUGACGUUAAUUGCUAUAAGAUUGAGUUUUGGUUGUUAUGUGUUGCGAUUAGAGUUGCUAUGGCUACUGCGAAAGUGACUUGGAGCCGAGGUUUUGGUUGUUGAUUUCGGGUUGAGGCGAAAAGGACUCUGUGACGCGUUUGGGUUAUGGAAACACGAUUUGUUUUUGGGUUAUUUCUUUUCAGGAUAUGGAAGAUGAGGCUCCAGGAGAGUUAUGUUUAUUUUCUGUUUACUCGGUCUUUUUGUAUUACCGUAGCUAUUGUUUUUCCCUCGCCUUUAUCCUUAUUAAGUUUGUAAGAGGGAUAGGAAAUUAUGAUAUGUAUAUUUGUAAACUAGUGUUAUGUAUAUAUAUAUAU